GACGAACGCUGGCGGCGUGCUUAACAUAUGCAAGUCGAACGGUGAAGCGCCUUCCUUUUUGGUGGGUGUGGAUGAGUGGCGAACGGGUGAGUAACACGUGAGUAACCUGCCCCCUUCUUCUGGAUAACCGCAUGAAAGUGUGGCUAAUACGGGAUAUUCUGGGUCUGUCGCAUGAUGGGUCUGGGAAAGAUAUUGUUUCGGUGGGGGAUGGGCUCGCGGCCUAUCAGCUUGUUGGUGGGGUGAUGGCCUACCAAGGCGGUGACGGGUAGCCGGCCUGAGAGGGUGGACGGUCACACUGGGACUGAGACACGGCCCAGACUCCUACGGGAGGCAGCAGUGGGGAAUAUUGCACAAUGGGCGCAAGCCUGAUGCAGCGACGCCGCGUGAGGGAUGGAGGCCUUCGGGUUGUGAACCUCUUUCGCCAGUGAAGCAGGCCUGCCUCGUUUGUGGGUGGGUUGACGGUAGCUGGAUAAGAAGCGCCGGCUAACUACGUG
rnacentral:rRNA from 1 species